rnacentral:rRNA from 1 species
GACAGAGGUGCCGAGCGUUAGGCGGAAUCACUGGGCUUAAAGCGUGUGUAGGCGGACGAUUAAGUACCUUGUGAAAUCCCACGGCUCAACCGUGGAACUGCUCGGUAUACUGGUCGUCUUGAGCCACUUAGGGGCAGUCGGAACAGACGGUGGAGCGGUGAAAUGCGUAGAUAUCGGCUGGAACGCCAAAGGUGAA